UAAACGGCCCUUUUUAGGGCCACUAUUGUUUGCCAACGGAGCUGCUU
rfam:Ixodes scapularis strain Wikel colony gcontig_1108379792620, whole genome shotgun sequence.